GCGAAGGUGGCGGAAUUGGUAGACGCGCGAGCUUCAGGUGUUAGUGUCCUUACGGACGUGGGGGUUCAAGUCCCCCCCCUCGCACCA
rnacentral:tRNA from 2 species